rnacentral:tRNA from 1 species
GGUUGUGGCUCAGUGAUAGAGUGCUGGCCUAGCAUGUGUGAGGCCCUGGGUUCAAUCCUUAGCACCA